GGAUGUGAGGGUGGUAUGGCUGCAACAUCUGUCACCCCACUGAUCACCAGGGUUGAUUCGGCCGAUCUGGCUGGUGAGGCGGGUGUCCCCUUCCUCCCUCACAGUUCCAUGUGCGUCCCUCCCAAAGCUGCAUGCUUGGUCGAAGAACACAACCUUCCCCAAUAGAGGAGAGGACUGGUCUUCAGUUGGGGUGUAUGAGUAGCUGCACUCUGCUGCUAGAACCUUCAGACAGGCUCUCAAGGACUCAUGUGAUUAGAUUGGGCCUAUCCAGAUAGUCCAGGGUAAUUCCCCCAUCUCAAGAGCCAUACUUAGCGAAGUCCCUUUUACCAAGUAAAAUGACAUGUU
ensembl:misc_RNA 7SK 7SK RNA